UGUGUUUCAUUAUUUGUGUUGUGUUGUGUGUUUGUUCCUGACAGUUAUGCAAUUAAAAACAAACAAAAAAGGUCACAGUGCAGUUAAACAACGCCUACUAUCUGCAGCUCUAGAUCACCCCCUAGCGGACACUCCAAGUCAUUUUCUCAGGCAGUUAUUCAAUACAAAGAGCAACACGUCGUUGUGUAAAUCAUAGCCAUUUUAACUCUUCUUUGUAUUUAUUUAUUUUCAAUGAUUCCAAUUUAUUUAACAGUAUAUUUUAAUGAUCAUAUUGAUCUUUAAACCACUGCAGAGACACGAUGCUUUCAUCUGCAGUUACACACGAGAGGAUUAUCAGUGCAGCGACACAACAGGACAACUCCUGAUCCUCUCAAUGCCUGAGCUGAUCUCAUCAGAGCAGUCACACAUGGGGAAUAUAACACAAGCUGUGCUAGACUUCAUGAAGAAAGAUUAGAGUAUAUAGAUUAGAGUAUAUAUGUGAAAGCAGUCAUUUUAUUUUCUACAAAUCUACGUUGAGCUCUAUGACACUGAUUUGACCAAACUGUAAACAUAUUAUUAUUAUACACUCUCCAGUAAAGCAGGUGGCGGUAUUCAGCUUUACGCUGCUUUCUAUAACUCGCCACACAAGAAGAAGAAGAAGAGGAGGAGGCGGCGGAGGAUGUCCGGGAAUGUGUUUCUUCUGUCUUCUCUGUGUCCAGUGUUUAUACUGCUUCAGUUUACUCGUGAUGAGCUUCUGGAUUUGAGUGUCUCAGCUGCUGAUCUAUUCCUGCAUUCAGCUGAAUUAUGAAGGCUGAUCAAUGACUGGAGAUCUGUGAUUGUUCAUCAGUUUCUGCUGGAGAUCAAACUCUUCAGGUCCAUCAUGGGUAACACACACACUGCUGGAGAUCAGGAUUUGUCUACAGGAUGCAGUUCAGUUCAUCAGAAGAGAGCAGAAGCAGAGCCCAGCUGUGUGUCUAUGAAGAGUGACAAGUCUAUGGCUCUACCAAUAAAUUUUAAGAGUGGAAACACACGACCUGCUGUCAGGUAGAUCAUCUCUUUAAUA